ensembl:snRNA U6 U6 spliceosomal RNA
GUGCUCGCUUCAGCGGCAUAUAUGCUAACAGUGGAGUGAUACAGAGAAGAUCAGCAUGGCCCCAGCACAAGGAUGACUCACAAAUUCCUGAAGGAAUCACGCAAAGAAU